rnacentral:rRNA from 1 species
GAUGAACGCUGGCGGCGUGCUUAACACAUGCAAGUCGAACGAUGAAGCCCAGCUUGCCGGGUGGAUUAGUGGCGAACGGGUGAGUAACACGUGAGUAACCUGCCCUUAACUCUGGGAUAAGCCUGGGAAACUGGGUCUAAUACCGGAUAGGAGCGUCCACCGCAUGGUGGGUGUUGGAAAGAUUUAUCGGUUUUGGAUGGACUCGCGGCCUAUCAGCUUGUUGGUGAGGUAAUGGCUCACCAAGGCAACGACGGGUAGCCGGCCUGAGAGGGUGACCGGCCACACUGGGACUGAGACACGGCCCAGACUCCUACGGGAGGCAGCAGUGGGGAAUAUUGCACAAUGGGCGCAAGCCUGAUGCAGCGACGCCGCGUGAGGGAUGACGGCCUUCGGGUUGUAAACCUCUUUCAGUAGGGAAGAAGCGAAAGUGACGGUACCUGCAGAAGAAGCACCGGCUAACUACGUG